rnacentral:lncRNA from 1 species
UUUUGAGAAACCUCCAUACUGUUUUCCAAGGUGGCCAUACUAAUUUACAUUCCCACCACCAGUAUACAAAGGUUCCCUUUUCUCCACAUCCUUACCAACACUUGUUAUCAUCCAUCUUUUUGAUAAUAGCUAUUCUAACAGGUGUGAGGUGAUAUUUCUUGGUUGUUUUCAUUUGCAUUCCCGUGAUGACUAGAGAGGGUAAGAAUUGUUUAUAUAUAUGUUGUCCAUUUGUAUCUCCUUUUUCGACAAAUGCUUGCUCAUAUAUCUUUGUUCAUUUUUAUGUUUUUAAUUUUUAUUUUAGACACAGAGGAUACAUGUGCAGGUUUGUUACAUGGAUGUAUUGUGUGCUGCUGAGGUUUACAGUAUGAAUGAUCUCAUCACACAUGUAGUGAACAUAAUACCCAAUAGGUAGUUUUUCAGGCCUUGCACCCAACCCUCCCUCCUCCCUCUAAGAAUCUCACUUAUACAUGAGAAUAUGUAAUAUUUGGUUUUCUGCUCCUGCGUACCACACCACACUGGGCUAAUUUUUAUAUUUUUGGUAAAGAUGGGGUAGCUUCAGCAUGUUGGCCAGGCUGGUCUUGAAUUCCUGAGUUCAUGCGAUCCACCCACCUCACAAAGUGCUGACAUAACAGGCAUGACCCAGUGCACCUGGCUUUUCUGAACUUUUUUAGCUUAUAUUAGGUUUGUCUGUUCUAGAAUUUUGUAUACAUUUAUUUAUAUUAUAGGACACUUUUUAGCUUAGCUUUCCCCACUCGGGGUUAGAAAGAUUAUAUUGAUCCAUGAUCAUGAUGUCGAUUCAUAGAGUUGAUUAUUCCCAUUUAUUGAUAAAUAUUACUCCAUAAUAUGCAUAUAAUUUAUCAAUUUCCUCUCAAUAGACAUUUGAGCUGUUCCCAGGCUUCAGCUAUUGUUAAUAGAACUCAAGGACACAUUUUUAAAAGAAAAAAUUUCAACCCAAAAUGUCCUUUCCUUUUGGCUCUCCAAUAUUGUGUCAGGGUUAUAUAUUUGUUGUCUUGAAAAUCCAAUUACAUUGAACAGGAGGUGUCUCUAGAAUCAAGGUUCAGUAUAUGGUGGUCUGGCUGUGUCCUGGAAUGUAGCCCUUAUUAGUUUUAUUGAGCAUUUUCCUAUAUAAAUUGAAAUCAAGUUGAAGACUCAUUUUUCCACAGUAGGACAAAUAGAACAGUUUAGGACUUUGGAGAGAUAGCAACUUGCUGCUUGCCUGUGCAACCCACCUCAAAAGAUACAACUCCUCCAACUUUUGAUUUCUGGUGACUUCUCCAAACAAUUAGAUGUGAAUUGACCUUAUUCCCUUACAUUACUACAUGUCGAUAUUCUGCACCUGGCCAAAUACAGUAUAAAACUGAUGAGCAUACAUUUCUUUUAGUUUCAUAUUUUCUAUUUAAAGCUACUCUCUUUGGCUGGGCACUAUGGCUCAUGACUGUAAUCCCAGCAGUUUGGAAGGCCAAGAUAGGUGGAUCACUUGAGGCCAGGGGUUUGAGACCUGCC